AUGAAAAUUUUUGUUGCAAUUUUUCACACUCAUGAAAAUGUCGCUGAUCGGUUAAAAAGCGAGUCUCUGCGAUCUCGGAAAGUACGAAAUCGAUUUUUGAUAUAGUUUGUUUUUCCUGACAGUCUUUAUUUGAGUCCUUAUUUCAGGAAAAUUGGACGUGAUACCAUAAUUCCCAACUGUCUUAUUUAGAAAUUAAUUCAAAGAAAAUCAAACCUCGAAUUCGGCCUAAGUAUCUUCUGAGAUCUCGGGAAACCGUUUUUUAAUUCUUUAAAGAGCAAUGAGUGUCAUUAAUCUAGGAAUUCGAGAGGCAUAUUGUAAUUUGAAAUUGGAGUGAAAAAAUCUGUAAAUUUUAUUGCUGACAGAGUUGUAAUCAAUGAUGACUCAUCAUUUUGAAUUGUCUAACUUUAUUGAUUAAUAGUCACAUAACUGAGAAUGAAAAACGUUGAAAAGACCAGUUUUCGUGUGAAUUUAACAUAUCCGAGGCGAGACCGAGGUCAAUAAAAACACAACAACGUGUCAUUUCACUUUGAUACCCAGUUAUGUAAAAUCAAAAAUCAAAAUUGAAAACUUACUUAAUCAUCGUUCGUUUUGAUUUGGAAUUCAUUUUAUUGAAAACAUUACAAAAAAAUUAAAUUACAAAAAAAAAAAUUAUUCCAUUUCCACCUAUUGUUAUUUUGAUCUAUCCUUUCUAGACUUAAGUUUGUACAAAGAAAUUAUUUACCUAAAAUAAACAAAUUUUUACACAUAAAAAA